rnacentral:rRNA from 1 species
GUCCAGACUCCUCGGGAGGCAGCAGUGGGGAAUAUUGGGCAAUGGGGGAAACCCUGACCCAGCGACGCCGCGUGAGGGAAGAAGGUUUUCGGAUUGUAAACCUCUGUCCUUGGUGACGAUAAUGACGGUAGCCAAGGAGGAAGCCACGGCUAACUACGUGCCAGCAGCCGCGGUAAUACGUAGGGGGCGAGCGUUGUCCGGAAUUACUGGGCGUAAAGAGAGCGUAGGCGGCACUACAAGUCUCAUGUGAAAUACCCGGGCUUAACUUGGGGGUUGCAUGGGAAACUGUAGAGCUUGAGUACAGGAGAGGCAAGCGGAAUUCCUAGUGUAGCGGUGAAAUGCAUAGAUAUUAGGAGGAACACCAGUGGCGAAGGCGGCUUGCUGGACGAUGACUGACGUUGAGGCUCGAAAGCAUGGGGAGCAAACAGGAUUAGAUACCCCCGUAGC